rnacentral:lncRNA from 1 species
CUAGUACAACUGUUUGAGUCUCGACUAUCCAGACCUGGUAUCACAGUUUCACAGACGGUCUAAGAAUUUUAUAAAUAAUGGCCCGAAAGAAUUAAAUACAAUACUGUCUCUGAAAAUACAUAUAAGAAACAGGAAAGUAGAUAGAAUGAGAUGCCAGGGCCUGUGAACGCCUGCAGGGCUACCUCAGGUCACCUGAUGAACAAGAUCUAGCAAUCUCACUACCGCCCGAAAUCUACAAUAUUGUGUCUGCACAGAAGAGUGCAGAGUGUAGUAUUAGCAAUAUUGACCUUAUGUGCUGGUAAGUGUCUAGCUUAACCUCGACAAAGAAGUGACGAGGCUAGGACCAGACUCCAGAAAAAUAUGUGCAGUUAUAUAAUAAAAGUAAAGAGGUAAUAAGCAAUUAAAGCUGGGGAAGGGGAACAUGCUGCGGGGCUGGCAGAUAACCAGAAUAUCAAAUAACAAUAAGGAAACUAUUAUUUAACUUUUAACAUGGAUAAGGAGAAAUAAAGGCAACUUUCACUUUCAAUUUCAUCUUGUUGUAGGCUUGCAACCCGAUCCCAUUUCUCAUAUCUCGUGGUAGGCUAUCACCCGCUCCCAUUUCCUCAUAUCUCGUGGUAGGCGUACCACCCACUCCCAUUUUCAUAUAUUAACAGUUCAUGCAGAUGAAAUUACUCCAACAACCGCAACAAUUAAUACAAAUUCAUAAGACAACAGAGUACACAAUAAUUAUGAUUCACUGAGGAAAACAAAUACUGACAAGUAGAAAUUAAUUAUGGACUUUAAGGAGCAAAUAGGUAAUUUAAUGUUUAGUAUGCUAAAUGUCAAGUAGCAAUUAAGUCACAUAAAUAUGUAGUAAUUACAGCAUAAAUUCAAUAAUAACUAUUGACAUGAUAAAGGAAAAUGCCAACGUAAAGAAUCACAGAAAUUGUGGAAUUAGACAAUUAAUGCCCUUGUACUGAUAACAAGAAAUCAUAACAAACGACAAUAAGUGUACGACAUCACCCUUCGUGCUUUAUCACUCUCUUAUCAAAACAAUACACGACAUCACCCUUCGUGUUUUACACUCUCUCACCAAAACAAUACACGACAUCACCCUUCGUGCUUUAUACUCUUCCUCACCCAAGCAACAAUUACAAAGAAAUUAGGGUAAGGGAAUCAAUGAAAUCACCAUAAAGUCAAUUAACAACAGAAAAUCAGUAAAAUAAAUGUAAAGAACAACAUAACUCAAUUAUCAGCAAGAAUCAGGGAAAUCAAGGACAAGUGCACGGCAUCACCCUUCGUGCUUUUACUCUCGUCCUCACCAUAAGAAUCAUUAUAAUAGGCACAGAAUAGUACAUCGUGCGACACGGCAUUGCCCUUUGUGCUUUACACUUUUUUCUCAUCAUGAAAUCAAUAUAAUAGGCACGGAAUGGUACAUCGUGCGAUAUGGUAUGACCCUUUGUACUUUACACUCUUUCCUGACAUUAGCAAAUAAAUGCACGACAUCACCCUUCGUGCUUUAACACUCUUACUCACCAAAAUAAUAAUUACAAAUAAGGGGUAAGGUAGUAAACAAAUAAUAAUAAAGAUCUCGGCAAGGGAACUUAAUUUAAUAGUUAAAUCCUGGCAAGGGAACAAUGUCAAUAAAUCUCGGCAUCCCGGCAAGGGAGGUAGUCAACAAAGCCAUAAACAUCCCGGCAAAGGAAAUUUUUAAUAACUCUUUCUGUUUCUUCUACUUUUACUUCACAACUCGUUUUACCACUUAAGCCAAUACUCCAAAGGGCUCAGUUAUCUCAUAUACUUUCACAUUUUUUACUAUAGUUGGGCCGAUGCUCCUCGAUGUUCAAAGGUCACAAUUUAUUUCACUAGCUUUUCAUAACAUAUAGAAAUCAUCACCAAGGCACGAAAGAAACAAUGAAUUCAUGAUAUUCACAAUAUAAAGACUCACAGUCAUUAUAGACACCAACGUAUAGAUACUCGUCACCAUGCCUACACGUCGUACUCAACCAUUAUCACAUAGAAAAUAGGACUCAACUCCUAAUCCCUCAAGCUAAGGUUAGACCAAACACUUAACUCAAACUUUGACAGCUAAUUCAAUCCUCAAUAACCACCUUUCCUUUCGAAUUCGGCUCCAAUUCAAUUGUAUCUAUACAACGUGAACCCAAUGCCUAAUUAUAGCUUUUCCAUCAUUUUUUCCAAAAACUCAAAAAUUGACCCCGGGCUCUCUUGGCCGAAACACGAGGUUCGAACCAAAAUCUGAUCACGCAUACAUUCACGAGCUCGAAUAUAUAAUUAUUUCUAAAAUUCGACCCCAAAAUGAGGUAUCACAAUUAAUUAAAGAGCCCUAACUUUACCCAAAUCCCUAAUUUUCUACCCUCAAUAAGUUAAGGAUUACUAACCCAAGAGGUUUUGGUGAAGAAUCGUGUCAAUGGUCGCCUAAGAGCUUGGAGAAGGAGAGGUUUAGUGAAAUUUCAUAUAUGAAACCCGUAGCUAAUGUUUCUGAAGUUUUAAAGAUAACUGGGUAAAAAAUACUCAUCGUGUUCGGGACAGGUUAGCCGCGUUCACGAUGAGUCAAGCUUAACAGGCCUUCGCAUUCGCGUAUAGUGGCCCACGUUCGCAGAGAGUAAUUCUCCUAGUGCAUCACAUUCACGUAAACACAGACGUUUUCGCGUAGAACAUCUGGUGACCCCUUCCCUUGUAACCUAUGCGUUCGCGAGUGGGGGAUCGCAUUCGCAAAGGGUCUCCCCCUGAGCUUCGCGUUCGCGUACCAAAUCUCGCAUUCUCAAUGAAGAAACUGGGCACCUGGGAUCUUUGCCUUACGCUUCGCGAGUGAGGCUACCGAACAUAAAGGGUAAAAUCACUGGGCACUAACAGUAGAAACCUGCAACACUUCUUAGGCCAAAAAACCAUUCCGAAACACCUCCGAAACACUCCUGAGCCCUCAGGGCUCCUAACCAGACACAUGCACUAACUCAACAACAUCAUACGAACUUAUCUGUGUGAUAAAAUCGCCUAAAUAACGUCAAAAACAAGGAAUCAAACCUCAAAAUCAAGAAUUUUCUCAAACUUCAUCAAAUUUCAAAUUUAGAACUUUAAGUGCGAAUCACGUCAAACGACGUCUGUUUUCAAUGAAAUUUUAUAGAAACAUUUUUAUUCACAGAUAAGACCUGUACCGUGUGCCGGAACCAAAAUACGGGCCCGAUACCAACACGUUCCAGUCAAAUAUCAUUUCACUUUUCCUUGAUACUUUCAAAAAAAAAAAUAUUCUUUUGAAAAUUUAUUUCUCGGGCUCGGGACCUCGGAAUUCAGUUUCGGGCAUAUGUCCGAGUCUUAUAUUUUCCUACAAAUCUUCUAGGACCGUCUAUCAUGGGUCCGGGUGUGUUUACCCAAAGAGUUGACAAAAUUUGGUAAUUUUAAUAUCAAAACUUAGUAAUUUUUCACAUAAUGUCAUAUUUAAGGUUUUCGAUUACGCGCCCGGACUAUGCACGCCAAAAGAGGCAACUAUAAAGAAGGUUUUCAAGGUAUCGGAAGCAUAAAAUUUAACUAAAAAUAGGUGAUGAUCCUUUGGGUCGUCACAUUCUCCACAUCUUAAACAACCGUUCAUCCUCGAACGGAUAGAAGAAGGAAGUACCUGAGUCAGGGAAAAGCUUAGGGUAACGGCUCCGCAUAUCGGACUCAGACUCCCAGGUUGAUGCAUCAGGAGGCUAACCUCUCCACUGAACACGGACAAAAGGAAAACUCUUAAAUCUAAACUAACGAACCUACCGGUCUAGAAUAGCCACCGGCUCCUCCUCCUAACACAAGUCCUUAUCCAACUGGACUGUGCUGAAAUCUAACAAGUGGGAUGCAUCGCCGUGAUACCACUGAAUCAUGGACACAUAAAACACUAGAUGCACGGCUGACAAGCUCGGUGGCAAUGUAAGUGCCACCUCUCCCACUUGAUCAAGAACCUCAAAUGGACCAAUGAACCUAUGGCUAAGCUUGCCCUUCUUCCUAAAUCUCAUUACGCCAUUCAUAGGCGACACUUGGAGCAAUACCCGCUCAUCAACCAUAAAAUCCACAUCUCAAACCUUGCGGUCUGCAUAACUCUUUUUCUUCGACUAAGCCAUAUGAAGCCUAUCCUGAAUGAUCUUGACCUUGUCCAAGGCCUCCUAAACCAGAUCCGUACCCAACAACCGAGCCUCUCCUGGCUCAAACCAUCCGACCAGAGAUCGACACCACCUAACAUAUAAAGCAUCAUAAGGAGCCAUCUGGAUACUCGACUGGUAGUUGUUGUUGCAGGCAAACUCUGCUAAGGGAAUGAACUAAUCCCACGAACCUCCAAGGUCAAUAACACAAGCUCGGAGCAUAUCCUCCAAUAUCUGAAUAGUCCGCUCUGCCCGUCUAUCUGAGGAUGAAAUACUGUGCUCAACUUAACCCGUGUGACGAACUCUCGCUGAACUACCCCUAAAAGCAUGAGGUAAAUUGUGUACCCGGUACGAAAUGAUAAAUACGGGCACACUAUGAAGGCAAAAAAUCUCCAAAAUAUAGAUCUCAGCUAACCUCUCAGAGGUAUAUGAGACUGCCACAUGAAUGAAAUGCGCUGACUUAGUCAGCCUAUCAACAAUGAUCUAAACUGCGUCGAACUUCUUCCGAGUCUGCGGAAGCCCAGUAACAAGUCCAUAGUGAUUCGCUCCCACUUCCACUCUGAAAGCUCAAUCUUCUGAAAUAAUCCACCAGGUCUCAGAUGCUCAUAUUUAACCUGCCGACAAUUCAAACACCGAGCCACAUAUGCCACAAUAUCCUUCUUCAUUCUACGCCACCAAUAAUGCAACCAUAAAUCCCGAUACAUCUUCGCGGUGACCGAAUGAAUAGAAUACCAAGAACUAUGGGCCUCCUCUAAAAUCAACUCUUGAAGCCUAUCCAUUGGGUGUCACACCUCUUUUUUUACACUACACCCCCGAAAGGGCAUAGAAGGGAGUUUUUUCAAUUAAAGGACAAUCGAAACGAGAUUUAUUUAUUUAAAGAUUUUAGAGUCACCACUUGGGAUACUUAAUGGUGUCCUAAGUCACCGAUUUAAAUCCCCAAUCGAGAAAAAGGGUUGACUCUGUAUUACAGUCUGUGAACCAGAAAUCUGGGUAAGAAAUUCUAUUAACUCGGGAGAAGGUGUUAGGCAUUCCCGAGUUCCGUGGUUCUAGCACGGUCAGUCAACUGUUAAAUUUGGCUUAAUUAUCUGAUUUUAAUACAUUUUGAACCUAUGUGCGUGCAACUUCAACCACUUUUAUUCAUUUUAGAGAUAUUGCAUCGUUGUUAAACAUGGAUUGGACCACGUCACAUAAAUGCGCCCGUGGUCUUUGAAAUAUUUUAACAUUGUUGGGAUUUAGAUUUGAGUCACAUAAAUGCGCACCCGAAUUUAGGAAGGUAGAUUUUUAACUAACGCGCCUAAAGCAAUUGUGUGUUUUUAACUUUGCGAGGGCCAUGAAAAUUUGCUAAAUGGUGCGCCUCGAAGUCUAAGGAUUUUAAAAGAUAUAAUUAAUGAGGGCCACAUAUUUGAGAUUUUAUUUGGCGUGGCGCACCUCAAUUUAUUUUAGCCUAAUGGGUUUCCAUAUUAAUUCACGAGGGCCAUUUAUUGGUUUUUAUGGCAUACCGCGUCAAGGAUUCAUCAACGAAAUAUGGCUUAAAAGAAUUACACUACCUUUGAACUCUGGCUGAAUUACAGCAUAGAUCCAGACUAAAACAAAGCAACGGCUAGUUCGUUUUUAUUUUCAGAAUUCAGGUAUUGCCUAAAGUGAGGCCCAAUAGCCUAGAUAACACCACAAGGAUGCAAAAUAUCGGGUUCCAUAGCACACCAUAUAUUGAUUCAAACGGAGAGCCCAUAUUUCCUUGAAGCAUUACUCAAAUGGGGAUGUCAAAGAGGUCAAGAUCGAAUCCGGGUAGUAGCAAAAGGUAAUUAAGAUUUGGAAAAGAAAAAUAACAAGAACAUUCGAACACUAUAGGUAUAUGAACAAUCUCAGAGAUGGAGUUAACAAUUAGUAAUACAAAAGACUCGAUUGAAAUUAAUGAACAAUCAUUCCUAAAUAUCCCUUUUAAGUUCCUACGACUUCAUUUAUUAAUUAAUGAAGUACAUGAGAAUGGGCAUCUAUUGGAACUUGGAGAAUAAAUGAGCAUGCUUACUGCUGAAUUUAUAAAUCGAAGAAACAAACAAUUCAUCAUUCAUACUAAUUAUAAUCUAACACAUUCACACGGUUAUCCUUCACAUAUUAGAAACUGAAGCAGUGGUGAAAUACCCUAAUUAUACAGUCAUGCUUCCUUAAAGCAUAAAUUACACAUUAGCUUUCCCUCUGAAUGUCAAAACUCAUGUCAAAUGUCCAUUGUUAAUUAGCACUUCAACACUGCGUUUAUAUGAGCCUGCACACAUACAUGCCAAUAGCCAACUUUUCAAGGGUAGGACCGGGCAAUUUUAGCAGAAUACUAACAGUAGUUGGGAUACAAAACACAAAAUCAAGCAUGAAUCUACAUAAUCAGAGUCCAUAGUCCAUUUUAUGAAUAAACAUGUGAAAUAAUCCAUAGGUGACUCUUACAUGCACAGCUUCAGAAAAGAGAAAGCCUAAUUAAUAUCUAUAAUUCGAAGCCUAAGUACAAAAUCUAUAAAAAAAUAGCAAAGAAACUGGGAGACCAACUUGAAUGCAGCCUUCAUUUAACAAAACUCCAACCACAUUACAUGUCCAAGAGUCAUUCCUCCAUUAAAGCUAAGGGGAGAUACCCGAUAUUGAUCAAACAAAACCAGCAGAAGUGAAAUGUCAGCCAGAAAUAGUAGGGUAGCAGGAUCAACCAGUUAAACCAACUCAAAACAGAAAAUAAGGUAAAAUAUCCCAGAAAACAAUUUCAAUCCAAGCAGUGGACCAGAAGACCUCAGAUUAGAAUUGAUCUUUAUUCAUUUAGACUAUCAGCUAAUUAAAAAUUGUUUUAGCGCUUUUAGUAAUCACCAAAAGGACUCAAUGAAUAGUGUUUUCCUAAGGUUUUCAGCCGGUUUGAUUUUUCCUGGUUUCUCUCUCUCUCUCUCUCUCUCUCUCUCUCUCUCUCUCUUUCUUCUUUUUUAUCUUGAGUUUUUUAUGCGUUUAUAGGCUAAGAUUUGGGGUAAACCUUCAGAUUUUUAUUUUACUCCUUAGUCCCUGAUUUUAUAACUUGUUAUCCAAGUGAUAAUAUGAAAAUUUUAAAAUAAACCCCUGCUAGAAGCUUAUAGGGGUUUCUUAGGUGGUUACAACAAGAUUCCCUAAGUACAUUUCCUAGUUUACCCAUCAAUUAUCCUAUUUUUACCUCUGAAGCCUACCAAAAAUGGGUCAACUGAGCUAAUUGGGUAAUAGGCCCCAAAUUGAAUCUCUAUUAGGCCAAUUGCCAUCUAUUAUCCAAUUACAAUAUUUGUGGACCAAGAUUGAAGCUAAAACAAAGCUUCCCAAGCAAAACAAAAAGCCCAGAACAUAUUUUAACAGAAACAAAAGGUAAAAUUAAAGACCUAGCCUAAAAUGACAACGAAUUAAUUAUGGAAAUGACUUUAUUUAUCUAAGUAAUUAACUGCUAAUGAAAAAUUUAAGCUCAUUAAUCAACUAAUAGGAGAGAAAAAAAAUAAAAGGACCCAGAACAAACCCAAAAACAAAACGAAUGACUAAUAGGAAGACCUAAAACUAAUACAGAAAUUGCAAAAAGCCUAGUCAUGCAAUUGAGAAGAAUUUUUUUACAGAUCAAAAGCAAAUGAGGGGAAGGGUACAUGACAGGAGAAUCAGGAAAAGAUGAAGCAAAAGAAUGAAUAAAAUUGUGAAGCAAGAAAAACUUACCAGCUGAGCUUGAAAACCACAGGUAACUUUGAUUUGUUGUCGAAACAGUAUAGAUCAUUUGUUCUUUGUUGAGACAGAUGAGGAACGCCAUUUCUAGACGAGCCAGGCUAGGAACAACAGGGUAAUUUCGAGGGGUGACCUUGCAUAGAGUAUUCUGAUUUUGGAUUCCAGAUUUGAGAGACUCAAGGGGGAUUCGAGGGAAAUGGUUCAUGGAUUUAGUACGAGAGUGCUUUAAUGGUUUCGUGGAAUUAUUUCGGUGGAGUUUGGGGAGCUGAAUCACAAAAUAGCCAUGGCAGCUUAGGUUAAACAGGGUGAGAGACAUGAGAUGGAGAAGAGGACCCAGUCUCUGAGGU